rnacentral:tRNA from 1 species
GGCGGGAUAGUUUAGUUGGUCAGAACAGUGGGAUCAUAAUCCACUUGUCGGGGGUUCAAAUCCCUCUUCCGUCA